rnacentral:sRNA from 1 species
CUGUGGACUAAGCUCAGAUAAUUGGGGGCCACUUCUCCUUUUUCUUUUUCCUCUCCGUUUUUUCUUUUCCUGGGGGAAGAUUUUUCAACCAACCCGACGAGCCAAAAUCCAGCUGGUCAGAUGACUCCGACCACACAAUCGUCGACAAAGUUCGAUGUAAGUCAUGUUUUGUCUCGCAGCGAAGUUCCACCAUACGUUUCCAGAACACGCCGCCCAGGCUUCUUCGAGUUGGGGGCGAGGGGCUCUCUGAGCCAUUAUUGGCUCCCCGCUCUCCUCAGAGGGCAGGCGUUAUGUCAUCGCU